rnacentral:rRNA from 1 species
GUCUACAGCCAUGCCACCCUGAAUGUUUCCGAUCUCGGAAGCUAAGCAGGUUUGGGCCUGAUUAGUACUUGGAUGGGAGACCACCAAGGAAUACCAGGUACUAUAGGUG